rnacentral:rRNA from 1 species
UACGUAGGGGGCAAGCGUUGUCCGGAAUUAUUGGGCGUAAAGAGUACGUAGGCGGUCUGUUAAGCGCAAGGUGAAAGGCAUAGGCUCAACCAAUGUGAGCCUUGCGAACUGGCAGACUUGAGUGCAGGAGAGGAAAGCGGAAUUCCUAGUGUAGCGGUGAAAUGCGUAGAUAUUAGGAGGAACACCGGCGGCGAAGGCGGCCUGCUGGACCGUAACUGACGUUGAGGCUCGAAAGCGUGGGGAGCAAACAGG